AGUGAACGCUGGCGGUAGGCCUAACACAUGCAAGUCGAACGGCAGCACAGUAAGAGCUUGCUCUUACGGGUGGCGAGUGGCGGACGGGUGAGGAAUACAUCGGAAUCUACUUUUUCGUGGGGGAUAACGUAGGGAAACUUACGCUAAUACCGCAUACGACCUACGGGUGAAAGCAGGGGAUCUUCGGACCUUGCGCGAUUGAAUGAGCCGAUGUCGGAUUGGCUGGUUGGCGGGGCAAAGGCCCACCAAGGCGACGAUCCGUAGCUGGUCUGAGAGGAUGAUCAGCCACACUGGAACUGAGACACGGUCCAGACUCCUACGGGAGGCAGCAGUGGGGAAUAUUGGACAAUGGGCGCAAGCCUGAUCCAGCCAUACCGCGUGGGUGAAGAAGGCCUUCGGGUUGUAAAGCCCUUUUGUUGGGAAAGAAAAGCAGCAGGUUAAUACCCCGCUGUUCUGACGGUACCCAAAGAAUAAGCACCGGCUAACUUCGUG
rnacentral:rRNA from 1 species